rnacentral:rRNA from 1 species
CCUACGGGGGGCAGCAGUGGGGAAUAUUGGACAAUGGGGGCAACCCUGAUCCAGCCAUGCCGCGUGUGUGAAGAAGGCCCUCGGGUUGUAAAGCACUUUCAGUGAGGAAGAACGCCUGGUGGUUAAUACCCAUCAGGAAAGACAUCACUCACAGAAGAAGCACCGGCUAACUCCGUGCCAGCAGCCGCGGUAAUACGGAGGGUGCGAGCGUUAAUCGGAAUUACUGGGCGUAAAGCGCGCGUAGGUGGCUUGAUAAGCCGGUUGUGAAAGCCCCGGGCCCAACCUGGGAACGGCAUCCGGAACUGUCAAGCUAGAGUGCAGGAGAGGAAGGUAGAAUUCCCGGUGUAGCGGUGAAAUGCGUAGAGAUCGGGAGGAAUACCAGUGGCGAAGGCGGCCUUCUGGACUGACACUGACACUGAGGUGCGAAAGCGUGGGUAGCAAACAGGAUUAGAUACCCUAGUAGUC